rnacentral:misc_RNA from 1 species
CCUCGCUGAGGGGAUUCCAUACGGGAGGGCUCCCUCGCCGACCAUGUCGAUGAGCCGCCCAGCCGCUGUCUUGCAUGCCGGGAGCGACGAUGGCAAAAAGGAUGACCCGAUGGCUGUACUCUGGCAGCAUGAACGGCACGUGCUGGUGUUGACACGGGCCGGCAAGCCCAUCUUUUCUCAGCAUGGCCGCGAAGAGCAGCUCAGUCCACUGUGUGCCCUCCUUCAAGUGCUGCUGCACAUACACGAAGACAAGGAGAGCGGCGACGAGCAAAGCCGGGGGCCGUCCCAGCCUGUUCCCAGAUCGGAUGGCGCCGUAUCUUCUGCGGCCGUGAGGGAUGAGUUGCGCCAGGUGGUCUACUACCGCUCAAGGUCGACGUCCGGCCAGGUCUCGCAUCAAGGUGACGUGAACGCGCAAGUGCAAGCCCUGACACUCUUCUUCUACGUUCAGGGUGAGCUGAUCUACCUCAUGUCAGUGCGCAGCGUGGCCCCCUCACUGCCAGCAGGCGCCGUGGAGAUGUCGAGCGCGGAGGGAGAAUGCGAAGCGCCGCCACUGGCUAGCUGCUGCCUGGCGCAGCUACGGCAUGUCCACCACUGCAUCCUACUCGUGCUUCCCACCGUGAACGCCCUGCUGGCGAGGUCACCCGGGCUGGACGUCAUGGCCACGUACACCUCGGCCGACCGUGCGGCGCUUCGAGAGCUCAUCGAGUCCCACCAGACAGAGCUGACAUACGCUGUUGGCGCGGUGGCCACGCUGGCCCUCAGCGUAGAGAAGCGUCGAGUUGUGGAAAGAGCGCUGCUGUGCUGUUACCGCAGCUGCGCCGACGCCGCCGUCGGGCCGCCGGCACACCAGCUGUUCAGCUUUCUGUACUUUAAAAACUACCUCGUGGCCGCCGUCGGACCUCCCGAGACCUACGCCGCAGACCCGAAGGUCUCUGUGUCCGCGCCCCUUGCACUGGGACCUGACACUGCGCUCUGCGGCUGUCUUCAUGUCGACGACGCGCUUCUCCUGUACCGCUACGCUCGCUCGCUGAUCUUGCGGCAGCUGGGGGAGGCGUGGGUGCCGGUGUGUCUGCCGCGCUUCAACAGCACCGGCUACCUCUGGUGCUACGCCGUCAACUUCACUCGCUACGCGCGGGAGCUCCGUCAGCAGCAAGGCAGGACGGUAUGGCCAAAGGUGUGGGAAGAGCACACGGAGCUCGAUUUAAUGCUCCUGCACGUGUCUGCCUCGCAGGAUGACUUCACGGCGCUGUCUCGCAGCACCCAACGCUUCGCGCAGAUCCUUUACGCGCCCGCCGUGGGGGACAGCUUUUACUAUCGGUUGGAGGAAGAACUCUACUACCGUACACCGGCCCCCUUGACGGAACUCCUGUCCUCGUCCCACAUGUCGGUGACCACCUGCUCCUCGCGUGACCUGCCUGGCUGCACUGGCGGGGUGCCGCUGUGGUAUGGCGUGGUCAUCCAAGGCGGCGACGCAUCCUUCCUCAACGCUGCUCAAGGCGAAGAGUCCAAGGCAACAACGCGGGCGGCCGCAACAGCCACGCGCGCGCUCGACUGUCCUUCAGCGAGCAUUCGGCUGCUGUUUGAGAGUCAGCCGUCACCGUUGCUCAACAUCGCCACCGUGGAGAAUGUGAAGGAGUUCCGGCAGCUUGCGGCGCGCUACCAGGCGCAGCUGCGUGCUGCACCCGCCUCUUCUUCAGCUCCUUGCAUGCUGUUUGUGCGCCACAACAGCGCCCUCGCCUUCGCAGUGGUUCAGCCGACCCGGCCACGCUGGCGGCACUGGCCGAGCAAUUCUUUUCGCCGAAGAAUCCGUUCGAUGUGCCAACUGAUGGCACUGCCGCUGGCGGUGACGCUGAAGAGUUUAAGGAGGGCCGAUUCAGUGUGGCCGCAGCCUCUCACCGCGGCGUAUCUUAUACUGCCUGGGUGGAGGCCGUUCGUGCGCUUGGCGUAGCGGAGCUCACGGUUGUGUUCGCGGCUUCCACACCGGAGGCCAUGGCGUGGUAUUGGGUGGCACACAUCUUGUUCAUGGCAGUGCAGCGGCGCAGCCACUUCAUUGUACGUCAGCUGAUCGGUGAUCGUCGGUGAGAUGAUACAACCUCGAGAAGCGCGCUUGCGCAUCAGAGAAUGGCAACGGCGUUGGUGAAAGGUUUGAGUAUGCGUGACUGGGCGCAUGUCUGCGUGUGUGGCGGUGCUCCCCUCAUCUUCCUCUCGCGUUCUCCUUUCCUUUUCCGCGUUGCUCGGCUGCUCCUUUCUUUACUUUUUUCUUCAAG